UACGUAGGGUGCAAGCGUUAAUCGGAAUUACUGGGCGUAAAGGGUGCGCAGGCGGUUCUGUAAGUCAGAUGUGAAAUCCCCGGGCUUAACCUGGGAACUGCGUUUGAAACUGCAGAGCUAGAGUGCAGCAGAGGGAGGUGGAAUUCCAUGUGUAGCAGUGAAAUGCGUAGAGAUAUGGAAGAACAUCGAUGGCGAAGGCAACCUCCUGGGCUAGCACUGACGCUCAUGCACGAAAGCGUGGGGAGCAAACAGG
rnacentral:rRNA from 1 species